ensembl:miRNA mir-261 miscRNA
UGAUGGCUUUUCUGGAUUUGUUCCCUUCACGUGUAGAAAGAAACGAGCAAAAAAAAUCUUAGUGUUAGCUUUUUAGUUUUCACGGUGAAUAUGGAUAUU